GGCCCAGCGGUCACAGCCUGCCCCUCACGGCAGGCCGCGGCAGCGCCGACCCCCAGUCCUUGGGGCUGGCGGGGCCCUGAGUGGGGCAGCGAGAGCCCCACGGGAGCCGGGGCACGGGGACUAUUUUCUGUGGCCGCAUCCCCGCGGAGGCCGCGGUAACGAGCAACAUUCUUGAGCUAGAGCCUUAUCCCCUCUCCCUGCCCGCGGGCUGUUCCGCCCCCUCCCUCCCCUGCUCGCCGUCUGCGGGGCAGCGGGCAGCUGACCGGCCCGGGCGAGGGCGGCCGGAGUUGGAAGGGCCGUGUGUUUCGGCCCGUGGGCUGUCGGCGUAUACUGUAUCCCAGAGACGUGCCAUGCGGGAGGGAGGGAGGGAGGGAGAGAGGGGGUGGGUAUGGGGAUCUGCCCGCGACUGCUCCACGUGCAUCAGUAGUUGUCAGUAGAAUCAAACUGACGUCAUCCUCGGGGCUCACCCUAGCUGCUGCUAAAGACUUCUCCAGCUUAAUUCAGAACCGUUGCUGUUAAUUGUGUUACAGUAGCAUCUACACAGUCCCAUGCAGCGUACGAACCACAGUACCAGCUUCAUGCAGAUACUCAUUGACAGGCAGCUUUUCAAAUGGUGAGACACAGUGGGAAGGUGCACGGAUGGUUUGUUUAAGGCUGUGGAGGUCUCCUGACUCCCAGGUAAAUGUAGGCUAUAUUGUUUCACCAUGUGGUGUCUGAACAUCCUUAUCAGCAGCUGAAUUACAAUAGCAGUGAUGAUUCCCAUCCUGAAUAAGAAAAAGGAAUAACUUUUUUUCUAGCUUUAUAGUUUUUGUCCAAUGUUUAUUUAAACAAAAAUGUUUCGGGGCACAUCUUUGUGUGUUCCGACAAAUAUCAUAAUUUCCCUCCAUUUUAAUGAUUUAUUUACACCACUGUGAGAUCUGGUCAUUGUAAAAUAGUUUUUUUCUCUAGAGGAAUGAAACAUGGGUACCAGAGCCAGGCUUGGCAUUGAGAGAUAUGUGUAUGGUAUCAAUGAGUUUGCAUGAUGUCCUUUCUUUUGUGUCUGACAGGACACACCAAAAAGGUCCUAACAACCCUGCUUUAGGGGUUGAAUUUUUUUUUCAUUGGAUUUUUAAUUGUUUGUCCAUAUAUAUUAAUUGAUCUUUAUUUUGGCAGUCUUUGGAGAAAACUGGUGGAAAGGCAGUGUUAGACAGCAGGACUUGAGGAUGACUGUUUUGUAACUGUAUGAGGAUUUCUUCUAUUAGAUGUAAUUUAUUUUGAAAUGAUGAUGACAACAAUAAUAAAUUCUCUUGUUUCUGCAAGACAAACUGCAAUAGAACACGGGAUGUACUGAGCUGCCAUUGUCACUAUCCUGCAAACACAUGGAAGACAACAGAAGGUCACGUAUCUAAAUUAGCUCUUCCAGGUUUGUGCUCAUGGAAGGUACCAGAUUAAUAGCCUAGGAGAACGAAGAGCUCCUUUUAUUCUCAGAACAGGUACAAUCACGGGAUCUUUCCCACACCUUACCUUACUCUUCACUGCCUCAAACCAUUUUUGGGAUAGACCACAAUUACACCCGGAACCUGCAUAGACUUGUGUGCUUAAAUAUAUUUGUAGAGCUAAGUCAUUAGUACUAAGAAGCUGUGGAGUCCUGGGUGGCUGCGGAGGCUGAGCUAUCUGCUGAGAAUGCUAAGAAAGUUGUGAAUUAUUCAAUUUUUAUGUGGAUACUUGUGAAGUACCACUGGAACAUUUCAUAUAAGACAACAAACAGUCAGCAGAUUACCUGCUUCCAUCCUGGUCUAGAUUUGGUCUAUGAAUGAAUGGCUCUCAGGCCCUUAAAAAUGCCCUGGGCAAGCCUGUCCUAUUAUUUCCACCACUGUUUUUUCAUCCAGAUGCCACAGGGAUGAACACAAUGUGUGGAGAAAAUGAAAAUCAAAUUGCCUACCAAGAGCUGACCAUAUGGGGCAGCUGGUUGCUGCUUCCCAGCCCCCUGCCUGAUAUCUCUUCACUGCCUCUGAUGAUGUGAUACUGAGUGCUAGUCAGUCUCUGUCACCCCUUCCAAAUCUGUUUUUAUGCUGCAUACAAGAACAUUUCUUCAGGUUUUAUAUUUUCUGAGAAUGUAUCUUCAUUUUCCUAUGGUUUCCUUGGGCCUCUGCAGGCUACAGCUCUUUGUUUGGUGUGCCCUUCCAUUGUUCCUCCUCCUUCCCCCCUCCUCUCUUCUGCUCUCUGGAAUGUGAACACUGGGCCUAGAAAUAAGGAAAGGAGGCCAAGAGGAAAACGUGUCUCGCUGAGGCUUGCCAGAUACCCAAGUUGCAUGUGGAGAGACAGUUUCAGCUUAAGUCUGGCUCAGACAGGAGCAUAGACCAUUAAACAUCCCGUUGCCUGUCUUGCACCAGGCAGACAGCACAACUCUUCAUGCUGACACCUGGAGGGGCUGGAAGGGCUGGAGGAGCAGGGAGUUACUGCUGUGCUGAACUGAGGUGGAUCUGGUGGGUUAGUUUUGCUGUCUGUGCCCAGGGAUGCAUUUUAUGUUGCAUAUUAAGAAUGAGGACACUGGGAGGAGGAGAGGUGUCUGCAAUCAAAUACUAUCACCUACUCAGGCAGAGCCCGGCAGUGCAGGUUUCCUCCUGCCAGCUUAUCUGCUUGGAGUGUCUGGCCCUUGGUUUCUGCAGGGUUCUGCAACAGUGAUGUGUGGUAAGUUAUUAUUAUUAUUAUUUGCUUGUUGCUUCAUGGCAAUUCACAUGGGCCAGUAAAAACUGGGUCCCGCUGUGCUUGGCACUGUGAAAACUGUGGUACUGUGUCCUGCCACCCAAAGAAUUUAGUCUAAACAGGCAAGGCAGGCAAGGGCAUGAGGCAGAAGCAUACAGAAAAAAACACCAACCACCAAACAAAAAACCCUGUGCUUUGACUUACAGACUGUCUGUUUUCUGACAGUUCCAGAAAAGAGUAUGGCUUACAGUGCCUGUGUUGCUAGAUAAAAACACCCUCCUCCCCCAGGCAAAUUAACAAAAACUAACAGAAAAAACGCCGAGGUGUGGCUGCCACAGUACCUUAGCACAUUUAGCUGUGCUUCAUUGUUCUCAGUCAUUGUUCUCAGAGCAUGGAGCACACAGAUUGUGUAAUACCUCUGACUAUUCUGGGACACCUGGGUUAGCACAUUACUCACAGUGGGUUGAAGGAGGAGUUCUGCAGUAGCUUUGGCUUGAGAAUGCUUUACUUCUCUUGGUUGGUGUCCUGACUUUCAGUAAUCUUUGAGAGCCUGAGGACAUAUAUCAAUUCAUACGUCUGACAGUUUUGAAAAUGACAGUGUUCUAAAGGUUGUGGUUUUUUUUUUUUUACAUAUGCGUUUGGUCUGUAAUUUGUUUUGUACAAUAGAACUAUUUUUACAGUGCUUGCCAUACAAACACCACCUCAUUCCACUGACUUUGUUGAUGAGAGGUAGCUACCCGCAUGUGCUCCCAUUCAGGACAAAAACAAAAA